rnacentral:rRNA from 1 species
ACAGGGAUGCCCUAGUAACGGCGAGUGAAGCGGCAACAGCUCAAAUUUGAAAUCUGGCGUCUUUGGCGUCCGAGUUGUAAUUUGCAGAGGGCGCUUUGGCAUUGGCAGCGGUCCAAGUUCCUUGGAACAGGACGUCACAGAGGGUGAGAAUCCCGUACGUGGUCGCUAGCCUUUACCGUGUAAAGCCCCUUCGACGAGUCGAGUUGUUUGGGAAUGCAGCUCUAAAUGGGAGGUAAAUUUCUUCUAAAGCUAAAUACUGGCCAGAGACCGAUAGCGCACAAGUAGAGUGAUCGAAAGAUGAAAAGCACUUUGGAAAGAGAGUUAAAAAGCACGUGAAAUUGUUGAAAGGGAAGCGCUUGCAGCCAGACUUGCCUGUAGUUGCUCAUCCGGGUUUUUACCCGGUGCACUCUUCUAUAGGCAGGCCAGCAUCAGUUUGGGCGGUUGGAUAAAGGUCUCUGUCAUGUACCUCUCUUCGGGGAGAACUUAUAGGGGAGACGACAUGCAACCAGCCUGGACUGAGGUCCGCGCAUCUGCUAGGAUGCUGGCGUAAUGGCUGUAAGCGGCCCGUCUUGAAACACGGACCAAGGAGUCUAACAUCUAUGCGAGUGUUUGGGUGUCAAGCCCGAGCGCGUAAUGAAAGUGAACGGAGGUGGGAACCCCUCGGGGUGCACCAUCGACCGAUCCUGAUGUCUUCGGAUGGAUUUGAGUAAGAGCAUAGCUGUUGGGACCCGAAAGAUGGUGAACUAUGCUUGAAUAGGGUGAAGCCAGAGGAAACUCUGGUGGAGGCUCGCAGCGGUUCUGACGUGCAAAUCGAUCGUCAAAUUUGGGCAUAGGGGCGAAAGACUAAUCGAA